rnacentral:rRNA from 1 species
GACGAACGCUGGCGGCGUGCUUAACACAUGCAAGUCGAGCGGUAAGGCCCUUUCGGGGGUACACGAGUGGCGAACGGGUGAGUAACACGUGGGUGACCUGCCCUCAGCUCUGGGAUAAGCCUGGGAAACCGGGUCUAAUACCGGAUAUGACUCCAUGACGCAUGUUGUGGGGUGGAAAGCCUUGAGUGGCUAGAGAUGGGCCCGCGGCCUAUCAGCUUGUUGGUGGGGNGAUGGCCUACCAAGGCGACGACGGGUAGCCGGCCUGAGAGGGCGACCGGCCACACU